rnacentral:rRNA from 1 species
CCUACGGGUGGCAGCAGUGAGGAAUAUUGGUCAAUGGGCGCGAGCCUGAACCAGCCAAGCCGCGUGAAGGAUGACUGCCCUGCGGAUUGUAAACUUCUUUUGUCAGGGAAUAAAGUGAGGCACGUGUGCCUGUUUGUAUGUACUUUAUGAAUAAGGAUCGGCUAACUCCGUGCCAGCAGCCGCGGUAAUACGGAGGAUCCGAGCGUUAUCCGGAUUUAUUGGGUUUAAAGGGAGCGUAGAUGGGUUGUUAAGUCAGUUGGGAAAGUUUGCGGCUCAACCGUAAAAUUGCAAUUGAUACUGGCAGUCUCGAGUACAGGUGAGGUAGGCGGAAUGCGUGGUGUAGCGGUGAAAUGCUUAGAUAUCACGAAGAACUCCGAUUGCGAAGGCAGCUUACCA